rnacentral:rRNA from 1 species
UACGAAGGGGGGCUAGCGUUGCUCGGAAUCACUGGGCGUAAAGGGCGCGUAGGCGGCGUUUUAAGUCGGGGGUGAAAGCCUGUGGCUCAACCACAGAAUGGCCUUCGAUACUGGGACGCUUGAGUAUGGUAGAGGUUCGGUGGAACUGCGAGUGUAGAGGUGAAAUUCGUAGAUAUUCGCAAGAACACCGGUGGCGAAGGCGGCCAACUGGACCAUACUGACGCUGAGGCGCGAAAGCGUGGGGAGCAAACAGG